rnacentral:tRNA from 6 species
GGAGGUUUGGCAGAGUGGUCGAAUGCGGCGGUCUUGAAAACCGUUGGGCCUUUGCGGGUCCCGUGGGUUCGAAUCCCACAGCCUCCGCCA